AUGGGUUUGGCCAUGGGCAAGCUGAUGCUGGGGAAGAUCAUCGUGGAGACGCCGAAGCACGAGGUGCUCCACACCGGCGACGGCUACGAGAUCCGCAAGUACCCGCCGUGCGUCGCCGCCGAGGUGACCUACGACCCCAAGGAGAUGAAGGGCGACCGCGACGGCGGGUUCCAGGUCCUCGCCAACUACAUCGGCGCCUUCGGCAAGCCGCAGAACACCAAGCCGGAGGCGAUCGCCAUGACGGCGCCGGUCAUCACCUCCUCCGGCGGCGGCGAGGCCGAGCCGAUCGCCAUGACGGCGCCGGUGAUCACCUCCUCCGAGCCCGAGCCGGUGGCCAUGACGGUGCCGGUGAUCACGGCCGAGGGCCGGGAGGAGAAGGCGAGCAAGGUGACGAUGCAGUUCCUGCUGCCGUCCAAGUACACCAAGGCGGAGGAGGCGCCGCGGCCGACGGACGAGCGGGUGGUGCUGCGGGAGGUGGGGGAGCGCAAGUACGCGGUGGUGACGUUCGGCGGUCUGGCCGGAGACAAGGUGGUGGCCGAGAAGGCGGAGGGGCUCAAGGCCGCGCUGGAGAAGGACGGGCACGCCGUCACGGGCCCCUUCGUGCUCUCCCGCUACAACCCGCCGUGGACGCUCCCGCCGCUGCGCACCAACGAGGUCAUGUUCCCCGUCAAGUGA
rnacentral:rRNA from 1 species